rnacentral:rRNA from 1 species
GACGAACGCUGGCGGCGUGCUUAACACAUGCAAGUCGAACGGAAAGGCCCUGCUUUUGUGGGGUGCUCGAGUGGCGAACGGGUGAGUAACACGUGAGUAACCUGCCCUUGACUUUGGGAUAACUUCAGGAAACUGGGGCUAAUACCGGAUAGGAGCUCCUGCUGCAUGGUGGGGGUUGGAAAGUUUCGGCGGUUGGGGAUGGACUCGCGGCUUAUCAGCUUGUUGUUGGGGUAGUGGCUUACCAAGGCUUUGACGGGUAGCCGGCAUGAGAGGGUGACCGGGCACAUUGGGACUGAGAUACGGCCCAGAAUCCUACGGGAGGCAGCAGUGGGGAAUAUUGCACAAUGGGCGGAAGCCUGAUGCAGCAACGCCGCGUGCGGGAUGACGGCCUUCGGGUUGUAAACCGCUUUCGCCUGUGACGAAACGUGAGUGACGGUAAUGGGUAAAGAAGCACCGGCUAACUACGUG